UGGUGGGUAGUUUGACUGGGGCGGUCUCCUCCUAAAGAGUAACGGAGGAGCACGAAGGUUGGCUAAUCCUGGUCGGACAUCAGGAGGUUAGUGCAAUGGCAUAAGCCAGCUUGACUGCGAGCGUGACGGCGCGAGCAGGUGCGAAAGCAGGUCAUAGUGAUCCGGUGGUUCUGAAUGGAAGGGCCAUCGCUCAACGGAUAAAAGGUACUCCGGGGAUAACAGGCUGAUACCGCCCAAGAGUUCAUAUCGACGGCGGUGUUUGGCACCUCGAUGUCGGCUCAUCACAUCCUGGGGCUGAAGUAGGUCCCAAGGGUAUGGCUGUUCGCCAUUUAAAGUGGUACGCGAGCUGGGUUUAGAACGUCGUGAGACAGUUCGGUCCCUAUCUGCCGUGGGCGCUGGAGAACUGAGGGGGGCUGCUCCUAGUACGAGAGGACCGGAGUGGACGCAUCACUGGUGUUCGGGUUGUCAUGCCAAUGGCACUGCCCGGUAGCUACAUGCGGAAGAGAUAAGUGCUGAAAGCAUCUAAGCACGAAACUUGCCCCGAGAUGAGUUCUCCCUGAGACUUAGAGUCUCCUGAAGGAACGUUGAAGACGACGACGUUGAUAGGCCGGGUGUGUAAGCGCAGCGAUGCGUUGAGCUAACCGGUACUAAUGAACCGUGAGGCUUAACCUUACA
rnacentral:rRNA from 1 species